rnacentral:rRNA from 1 species
GGUGACCUGCGGAGGGACAUUACAAGUGACCCCGGUCUAACCACCGGGAUGUUCAUAACCCUUUGUUGUCCGACUCUGUUGCCUCCGGGGCGACCCUGCCUUCGGGCGGGGGCUCCGGGUGGACACUUCAAACUCUUGCGUAACUUUGCAGUCUGAGUAAACUUAAUUAAUAAAUUAAAACUUUUAACAACGGAUCUCUUGGUUCUGGCAUCGAUGAAGAACGCAGCGAAAUGCGAUAAGUAAUGUGAAUUGCAGAAUUCAGUGAAUCAUCGAAUCUUUGAACGCACAUUGCGCCCCCUGGUAUUCCGGGGGGCAUGCCUGUUCGAGCGUCAUUUCACCACUCAAGCCUCGCUUGGUAUUGGGCAACGCGGUCCGCCGCGUGCCUCAAAUCGACCGGCUGGGUCUUCUGUCCCCUAAGCGUUGUGGAAACUAUUCGCUAAAGGGUGUUCGGGAGGCUACGCCGUAAAACAACCCCAUUUCUAAGGUUGACCUCGGAUCAGGUAGGGAUACCCGCUGAACUUAAGCAUAUCAAUAAGCGGAGGAAAAGAAACCAACAGGGAUUGCUCUAGUAACGGCGAGUGAAGCAGCAAUAGCUCAAAUUUGAAAUCUGGCGUCUUCGACGUCCGAGUUGUAAUUUGUAGAGGAUGCUUCUGAGUAACCACCGACCUAAGUUCCUUGGAACAGGACGUCAUAGAGGGUGAGA